rnacentral:rRNA from 1 species
CAGUAGCCACGGUAAUACGUAGGGUGCAAGCGUUAAUCGGAAUUACUGGGCGUAAAGCGUGCGCAGGCGGUUAUAUAAGACAGAUGUGAAAUCCCCGGGCUCAACCUGGGAACUGCAUUUGUGACUGUAUAGCUAGAGUACGGCAGAGGGGGAUGGAAUUCCGCGUGUAGCAGUGAAAUGCGUAGAUAUGCGGAGGAACACCGAUGGCGAAGGCAAUCCCCUGGGCCUGUACUGACGCUCAUGCACGAAAGCGUGGGGAGCAAACAGGAUUAGAGACCCGAGUAGUCCCUGUCUCUUAUAC